rnacentral:rRNA from 1 species
AGAGUUUGAUCCUGGCUCAGAACGAACGCUGGCGGCGUGGAUAAGACAUGCAAGUCGAGCGCUGAUUACGAGGUAGCAAUAUUUCGUAGUUGGAGCGGCGCAAGGGUGCGUAACACGUGGGUAAUCUGCCAUGAAGUCUGGAAUAACUUGCUGAAAGGCGAGCUAAUGCCGGAUGUGAAAAUCGGGAGGCAUCUUCUGAUUUUCAAAGUUGGGGACCGUAAGGCCUGACGCUUCAUGAUGAACCCGCGGCCUAUCAGCUAGUUGGUGAGGUAACGGCUCACCAAGGCUAAGACGGGUAGCUGGUCUGAGAGGACGACCAGCCACACUGGAACUGAGACACGGUCCAGACACCUACGGGUGGCAGCAGUCGAGAAUUUUUCACAAUGGGGGAAACCCUGAUGGAGCGACGCCGCGUGGGGGAUGAAUGGCUUCGGCCCGUAAACCCCUGUCAUUCGCGAACAAUGCUCACGGUUUAAUACAUCGUGAGUUGAUAGUAGCGGAAGAGGAAGGGACGGCUAACUCUGUGCCAGCAGCCGCGGUAAUACAGAGGUCCCAAGCGUUGUUCGGAUUCACUGGGCGUAAAGGGUGCGUAGGUGGUCGGGUAAGUCUGAUGUGAAAUCUCGGAGCUCAACUCCGAAACUGCAUUGGAUACUAUUCGGCUGGAGGGUUGGAGGGGGGACUGGAAUUCUCGGUGUAGCAGUGAAAUGCGUAGAUAUCGAGAGGAACACCAGUGGCGAAAGGCGAGUCCCUGGACAACUCCUGACACUAAAGCACGAAAGCUAGGGGAGCAAACAGGAUUAGAUACCCUGGUAGUCCUAGCUGUAAACGGUGCACGUUUGCUGUAAAAGAAUCGACCCCUUUUGUGGCGUAGCCAACGCGUUAACGUGCCGCCUGGGAAGUACGGUCGCAGAUUAAAACUCAAAGAAAUUGACGGGGCCUGCACA